rnacentral:rRNA from 1 species
GUACGGGGGAUGCAAGCGUUAUCCGGAAUUAUUGGGCGUAAAGGGUCCUGAGGUGGCUAGCCAAGUCUAUUGUGAAAUAUCAGGGCUUAACCCUGAACAUGCGGUGGAAACUAGAAAGCUUGAGUACAGUAGGGGCGGAGGGAAUUUCCGGUGGAGCGGUGAAAUGCAUAGAUAUCGGGAAGAACACCAACGGCGAAAGCACUCCGCUGGGCUGAUACUGACACUGACAGACGAAAGCUAGGGUAGCGAAAGGG